rnacentral:rRNA from 1 species
AGCAGCCGCGGUAAUUCCAGCUCCAAUAGCGUAUAUUAAAGUUGUUGCAGUUAAAAGCUCGUAGUUGAAUUUCGAGACCGGUUUACUGGUCGUGCUUUUGUACGUACUGGUAUUAUUGGUUUCUCCUUUCUGACGAAUCAUAAUGCCAUUAAUUUGGUGUUUUGGGGAAUCAGGACUGUUACCUUGAAAAAUUAGAGUGUUUAAAGCAGGCUCACGCUUGAAUACAUUAGCAUGGAAUAACGAAAUAGGACGUUUGAUUUUAUUUUGUUGGUUUCUAGGAUCGACGUAAUGAUUAAUAGGGAUAGUUGGGGGCAUUAGUAUUCAAUUGUCAGAGGUGAAAUUCUUGGAUUUAUUGAAGACUAACUACUGCGAAAGCAUUUGCCAAGGANGUUUUCAUUAAUCAAGACGAAAGUUAGGGGAUCGAAGACGAUCAGAUACCGUCGUAGUCUUAACCAUAAACUAUGCCGACUAGGGAUCGGAUGAUGUUAAUUUUUUAAUGACUCA